GCAGGGGAGUUGAACGAGUUCACUGAUGUUUGUGUGUGUGUGUGCGUGUGUGUGUGUGAGAAAGAGAGGGAGAGGGAGAGAGAGAGAGGAGAGGGAGGAAGCCGAGUAUGUGUGUGUGUGAGAGCAGAGCAGAGCAGAGCAGAGCGGGAGAAUGUGGGUGACUACUGAUGCCACGGCUGUCGUAUAAGGACCAGCUAACUUUAUUUCUGCCUUUUAUCUUUUUUUUUUAAAAAUGUAAUUUUUUCUUUUUACUUUUUCUUUUUGGGCAGCACUGUUUUCCGUGGCUAUGGUACAGUCUGUACUUUUUGUUUCUGUGUGUGUGUGUAUGUAUGUUUAUGUGUGUGUGUGUGUGUGGGGAAGAACAGUGAAGGGAUCGCACUCGUUGCUCUCUCCGUCUUUCUCUCUUCACGGAGAGAGGAAGCAGGGGAGACCGACACAGUACAGGAGAUAGGACAGCAUGCCUCCCUUUGUUGCUGCCCUUGGGCUGAGCUGUUCCACUGCUGGGUGCGGCACUGCAGAAGCCCUUCAGGGAGUACUUGGAGGCCCAGAAGGCCAAGCUGCACCAUCGUGCCGGAGAGGGGAUCCCAACUGAGGAGAACUGGCUGUCGUGGCUCUUUGAGAAGGUUGUGGUCAUCAUGGUAUGCUUCUUUGUCUGCUCCAUUGUCAACUCCAUGGCCCAGAGCUACGCCAAGCGCAAGCAGCCGGAGAAGUGCUCGGAGGACAAGACGGAGUGAAGGCCACGGCAAACCAGCAACUUCAAAGCUCCCACCACUCCUAUCCUCAUUUCUGCUCUCCCUCUUGGCUGAUACCCCACCAUUAUCUGAGGCAAAAUAUCAGCCCCCAUCUGGUUUCUCUCUUGUCAUUGUAUCAACAUGUUGAUGUUGAACUUGGACUUCCAUUGACUUGCUCUUUAAGGCUUUUGCAUUUGGUAGUGAUUUCCACGAUUUGUUCUCUGUAAGGUAGGUGCUUGUUGGGUUACGUGCGAGUGUGUGUACGCUGUUGUGUUGUUUAAGUGUCUCAGUUGGUGCUUUUAGCAGCUCCCAAGCAUGUGAGAAGAAGCUGC